CUGAGGUCUGACUACCCACCAGGCAGAUGUGUUCUCUUAUGGUAUCAUCCUCUGUGAAAUCAUCGCCCGCAUCCAAGCUGACCCAGACUAUCUUCCCCGCACAGAGAAUUUCGGGCUAGACUAUGAUGCUUUCCAGCACAUGGUGGGAGACUGCCCCCCAGACUUUCUGCAGCUCACCUUCAACUGCUGUAAUAUGGACCCCAGACUACGUCCAUCUUUUGUGGAGAUUGGAAAGACCCUGGAGGAAAUUAUGAGCCGUCUACAGGAAGAAGAGCUGGAGAGGGACAGGAAGCUGCAGCCCAUAGCUAAGGGUAAGUGAUUAGAUUCAGACACCUAAACUUGAUCCCAAAGGGGAGAAAAUGAGACCAUGAGACCCUCUCCUCUAGGCCUAUAAUUCUAAGAUCUCAGGUCUGGAAGGCAGAGUAGGAGGAGCACAGCAUGGACAAUAAAAGUACUAGGCCCUCUUAAAAAGCUGACUUGGCAUAUUGCUUCCCUGUUUCUUCUUCAUUGAUAA